UACGUAGGGUGCGAGCGUUGUCCGGAUUUAUUGGGCGUAAAGAGCUCGUAGGCGGUCUGUUACGUCUGCUGUGAAAACCCGGGGCUUAACCCUGGGCUUGCAGUGGAUACGGGCAGACUAGAGGUAGGUAGGGGAGAAUGGAAUUCCCGGUGUAGCGGUGAAAUGCGCAGAUAUCGGGAGGAACACCGGUGGCGAAGGCGGUUCUCUGGGCCUUACCUGACGCUGAGGAGCGAAAGCGUGGGGAGCGAACAGG
rnacentral:rRNA from 1 species